AGAACGAACGCUGGCGGCAUGCCUAACACAUGCAAGUCGAACGAGACCUUCGGGUCUAGUGGCGCACGGGUGCGUAACGCGUGGGAAUCUGCCCUUAGGUACGGAAUAACAGUGAGAAAUUACUGCUAAUACCGUAUGAUGUCUUCGGACCAAAGAUUUAUCGCCUAGGGAUGAGCCCGCGCAGGAUUAGCUAGUUGGUGGGGUAAAGGCCUACCAAGGCUACGAUCCUUAGCUGGUCUGAGAGGAUGAUCAGCCACACUGGGACUGAGACACGGCCCAGACUCCUACGGGAGGCAGCAGUGGGGAAUAUUGGACAAUGGGCGAAAGCCUGAUCCAGCAAUGCCGCGUGAGUGAAGAAGGCCUUCGGGUUGUAAAGCUCUUUUACCCGGGAAGAUAAUGACUGUACCGGGAGAAGUAAGCCCGGCUAACUCCGCGCCAGCAGCCGC
rnacentral:rRNA from 1 species